CGAGAUGAUGGGAGCUUGCUUCCCUAAUUUCAGCGGCGGGACGGGUGAGUUACCCCGUGGGUAACCUGCCUGUUAAGACUGGGGAUAACUCCGGGGAAACCGGGGCUAAUACCGGAUAACUCAUUUCCUCGCAUGAGGAAAUGUUGAAAGGUGGCUUUCUAGCUACCACUUACAGAUGGACCCGCGGCGCAUUAGCUAGUUGGUGAGGUAACGGCUCACCAAGGCAACGAUGCGUAGCCGACCUGAGAGGGUGAUCGGCCACACUGGGACUGAGACACGGCCCAGACUCUACGGGAGGCAGCAGUAGGGAAUCUUCCGCAAUGGACGAAAGUCUGACGGAGCAACGCCGCGUGAGUGAUGAAGGUUUUCGGAUCGUAAAGCUCUGUUGUUAGGGAAGAACAAGUGCCGUUCGAAUAGGGCGGCACCUUGACGGUACCUAACCAGAAAGCCACGGCUAACUACGUGCCAGCAGCCGCGGUAAUACGUAGGUGGCAAGCGUUGUCCGGAAUUAUUGGGCGUAAAGCGCGCGCAGGUGGUUCCUUAAGUCUGAUGUGAAAGCCCACGGCUCAACCGUGGAGGGUCAUUGGAAACUGGGGGACUUGAGUGCAGAAGAGGAAAGUGGAAUUCCAAGUGUAGCGGUGAAAUGCGUAGAUAUUUGGGAGGAACACCCAGUGGCGAAGGCGACUUUCUGGUCUGUAACUGACACUUAAGGCGCGAAAGCGUGGGGAGCAAACCGGGAUUAGAUACCCUGGUUAUGCCACGCCGGUAAACGAUGAGUGCUAAGUGUUAAGGGGGUUUCCGCCCCUUAGUGCCUGCCCUAACGCCAUUUAAGGCACUCCGCCUGGGGAGUACGGUCGCAAGACUGAAACUCAAAGGAAUUGACGGGGGGCCGCACAAGCGGUGGAGCAUGUGGUUUAAUUCGAAGCAACGCGAAGAACCUUACCAGGUCUUGACAUCCUCUGACAACCCUAGAGAUAGGGCUUUUCCCCUUCGGGGGACAGAGUGACAGGUGGUGCAUGGUGUCGUCCAGCCCCC
rnacentral:rRNA from 1 species